UACAGAGGGUGCGAGCGUUAAUCGGAAUUACUGGGCGUAAAGCGUGCGUAGACGGUUAUUUAAGUCGGAUGUGAAAGCCCCGGGCUCAACCUGGGAAUUGCAUUCGAGACUGUGUAGCUAGGGUACGGAAGAGGGAAGCGGAAUUUCAGGUGUAGCGGUGAAAUGCGUAGAUAUCUGGAGGAAUACCGGUGGCGAAGGCGGCAUCCUGGACCGACAUUGACGCUGAGGAGCGAAAGCUAGGGGAGCAAACGGG
rnacentral:rRNA from 1 species